UGAAAAAUGUCUUGAAAAUUUAUUGGAUGGAUCAGUGAGGCUUUUAGAUAUUUGUGGAGUCACGAGGGGCUUCUUGUUACAAUUUAAGGAGCAAGUUCAAGCUCUUCAAUCUGCACUACGCAGGAGAAAAGGAUAUUCCAGCAUCGAAGGCAGUAUAGCUAGUUAUUCUUGCUUCACAAAGAAGAUGAAAAAGGAGGCAAAAAAGUCAAUUGCUGUACUGAAGCAAAUGGGCAGCAAACUUAAGGCAUCUCCACUUCAAGAU
rnacentral:misc_RNA from 1 species